GUGAAGCCUAGGCCAUGGCCGGGGCCCUCUGGUCCCCCUAACCCUGCAUCUGGGAGCCUUGGAAUGGGCCACAGCAGCCCAGGAAGGCACUGAGCACUGUGUCUGGGCACCUGGUCCUCCCUGGGCCGGGCGUGUUGGGGCAGCGGUGACUGCCUGAUCCGAGCCGGGCUCCAGGAGUCACACGGACCGCUAGUGGCCGUCUCCGGAGGCUUGGCGACCCAACGGGCCCAGGUGAGUGGAUUGGUUGGCAUUGGCCCUUUCCGACUUGAGUCUCCACUUGGCAUUUCUGGGUGGGCAGAGCCCCUUGCCCGCUGCCCAGGGAGACACCAACUUUGAUAGUUCUGUAGAUAAGUGGCUUCCAGGCCUGUUGACACAGCUCCCCUAGAGACAGCUCCUCUGGGCCGGGGGCCAUCCAGCCCUCGGCAGGGGUGAGAGACAGCAGGAGGUGGAGAUGGCAGGGGAGCCCUGUUUCGAGGUGCU
rnacentral:lncRNA from 1 species